AUGAACGCUAGCUACAGGCUUAACCCAUGCAAGUCGCAGGGUAACAUGAGGAAAGCUUGCUUUCCUUGAUGACGACUGGCGCACGGGUGAGUAACGCGUAUCCAACCUUCCCAUAACUACGGGAUAACCCGUUGAAAGACGGCCUAAUACCGUAUGAUAUCGUUUGCUGACAUCAAAUAACGAUUAAAGGUUUAGCGGUUAUGGAUGGGGAUGCGUCUGAUUAGCUUGUUGGCGGGGUAACGGCCCACCAAGGCGACGAUCAGUAGGGGUUCUGAGAGGAAGGUCCCCCACAUUGGAACUGAGACACGGUCCAAACUCCUACGGGAGGCAGCAGUGAGGAAUAUUGGUCAAUGGGCGAGAGCCUGAACCAGCCAAGUAGCGUGCAGGACGACGGCCCUAUGGGUUGUAAACUGCUUUUAUGUGGGGAUAAAGUGCGUGACGUGUCAUGCAUUGCAGGUACCACAUGAAUAAGGACCGGCUAAUUCCGUG
rnacentral:rRNA from 1 species